rfam:Myotis davidii contig212949, whole genome shotgun sequence.
AGCAGUUCUUGGGUGUCACACCCCAGAAUUGGGCUCCCUCCUCUCUGGUUCCGGGUGCGUCACCUGAGAACCACA